rnacentral:rRNA from 1 species
AUUGAACGCUGGCGGCAUGCCUUACACAUGCAAGUCGAACGGUAACAGGUCUUCGGAUGCUGAUGAGUGGCGAACGGGUGAGUAAUACAUCGGAACGUGCCCGAGAGUGGGGGAUAACGAGGCGAAAGCUUUGCUAAUACCGCAUACGAUCUCAGGAUGAAAGCAGGGGACCGCAAGGCCUUGCGCUCACGGAGCGGCCGAUGGCAGAUUAGGUAGUUGGUGGGAUAAAAGCUUACCAAGCCGACGAUCUGUAGCUGGUCUGAGAGGACGACCAGCCACACUGGGACUGAGACACGGCCCAGACUCCUACGGGAGGCAGCAGUGGGGAAUUUUUGGACAAUGGGCGCAAGCCUGAUCCAGCCAUGCCGCGUGCAGGAUGAAGGCCUUCGGGUUGUAAACUGCUUUUGUACGGAACGAAAAGACUCCUUCUAAUAAAGGGGGUCCAUGACGGUACCGUAAGAAUAAGCACCGGCUAACUACGUGCCAGCCGCCGCAGUAAGAC